CUGCUGAGGACAGUCCUCCAGGCAGGCUGUUGGUCGCCCUCCCACAUCUCCAUCCUCACAUUCCCUGACCCUGCUCUGGGUCUGUAAUCACAGUUCUGGAAACUUCUCUGGAGCCCAGGGUUACUGGCUCUGAGGACCCCAUGGACCUGUCCCUCACAGGUGUGUUCUCCUCACAGGUGGAAAGAAAGGGCACUACGCUCAGACUGCCCGCAGCGACAGUGACCAGGGCUCUGAUGUAUCUCUCAUGGCUCCUAAAGUGUGAGUCGGCGGCCUGUAGGAAGCGGCCAGAUGUGAGCAGCACAGCAGUGACCUUUAAAUUCGGCGUAACCGCAGACCUUGUAGUAAUGCUGCAGAGCUAAUGCAACAUGAUUAUUCCUUGCCCUUUCUGCCUCCGCUGCUGCCAUGGCACCUGUAGGAAAGCUUGUGGUGAAGGGAGCAAACAAAAGAAGCACAUUCUGAAGUUUCCCCUUGACGGCACCCUCCCUGUCGGAGAUGGUGUCAUGGAGGCUGCCAAGUUUGAGCAGUUUCUCCAAGAGAGAACCAAAGUGAGAGGAAAAACUGGGAUCUCGGUGGAGGGGUGUGACCACUGGAAGGAGCAAGAGCAAGGUCACCGUGACCUCCAGCGUGCCUUUUCCCAAAAGGUAUUUGAACUCUGACCAAAAAUAUUGACAAAGAAUAAGCUACGUGGUUGGCUGUGCAGUGCUGACAGCAACGGGAGUUAGGAAUGACCUUACUUCCAGAGGAACCAGGAUGGAGAAGAGGAGGACGAGGAGGAUUAAAGCUCAUUUAUCUGGGCAGAGCCAGUGACUUGGUGGUUAAGGUGCUGGACACUCUCACAUGGCCAACCACGGUUUCAGUCUCAGACUGGCUGGCUUACUUUCUCCCUUUCUCUCUCUCUCUGUCACUGGUCAAAAUAAAAAUAAAGUUAAUAAAUCAUUUUUAAAAACUCACUUAUCUGGCAUAGUUAGUGAGUUCUUGACUAAAACUUGGGAACUAAAGAAACAAGGACACCUUUCUUCCUCUGUGUCAGCACUGCAGGGGGCGUCUGGUGGUGUUGGUUAAAGGAGGCUGUUAGCCAGAGAAGGUCCGGGAAGGUAAGCGAAAGCGCCUACAGGACUCCAAGAUGCCGGAGGGUCACAUCUUCUGCCUAAACAUCAGAAAACGGGCUUUGUGUUCCACUCCUCCGGCAGAGGAGUCUGGACCACCCGAUCCCCACUUUUCUCUACUUGUGUGUCUCUGUGUGUUUCCAAUCCACUGCCGCUUCCACGCAGGAACACGUUCAGCCACGGCAGUGGCCUUGUGAGGGCAAGGAUAUGUGACGUCGGGGUCCCCGACCGCUCUCCCUGCACCUGGCGUCUGACUGUGUCUGCGUGUCGGUGUCCCUGCAGCCUAGUGUGAGGGGACAGGGACUCAGGCCGUCCCCGACACCAGGGCCCCUCCCACUGCCCUGUGCCCUCUGCCCUGACCAGCUUUCCUGCUCCAGGAGGGGCAGGACAUGACGUCUCCACCCCGACUCCCCUGUGGCACACUCAGCCGCACCUUCCUGCUUCCUUGCUCAAAAUUAAAUUCUGGGUAUUGAUUUUUU